rnacentral:rRNA from 1 species
AUACAGAGGGUGCAAGCGUUAAUCGGAGUUACUGGGCGUAAAGGGCGCGUAGGCUGGUAUUUAAGUCGAUUGUGAAAUCCCUGGGCUUAACCUAGGAAUUGCAGUCGAUACUGAAUGUCUUGAGUAUGGUAGAGGAAAGUAGAAUUCUCGGUGUAGUGGUUAAAUACGUAGAUAUCGAGAAGAACACCGGUGGCGAAGGCGACUUUCUGGACCAAUACUGACGCUGAGGCGCGAAAGCGUGGGGAGC